rnacentral:lncRNA from 1 species
GUGUGGAAUUAGACGGCAGGGAAGCCAGACGGUUGGGAUCCCUUGCUCGAGACGCCGGCAUUGACAAAGCAAUUGCAGAUGGAGCACAAUCCACCAGCCUCUGGAGGCGUCUCCUCUCAGCUGUGAGGGAAAGGUAUCCCUUCAAGGAAGAUAUUUUAUGUCUACCAGGCAAGUGGACCACUAUGGAGAAGGGAAUCCAGUACCUGAGGGAAUUAGCCGUACGGGAAGUGAUUUAUGAGGAUCCAGACCAGAGACAAACAUCCAAAGAUCCAGAUGAAGUCAAGUGUACACGACCCAUGUGGCGGAAGUUUGUACGGAGUGCACCAUCAUCAUAUGCCAGUUCAUUGGCAAUAAUGGCCUGGAAAGAGGAUGAGGAACCCACAGUGGAUGAAGCGGCUAAACAACUCCGGCAGUACGAAGAAAGUCUCUCCUCUUCCUUACAGGCCUGCGUCUCAGCUGUGGAGAAACUUUCUGAAGAGGUCCACCAACUUAAAGAGAAUCUAUCUUCCUCCCCACCUGAACCAACCAGUGCCCACCGACCAAAAGAGAACACUUGGGAGAAACUUUCUGAAAAGGUUCACCAACUUGAAGAGAGAUUAUUCUCCUCCGCACCUGUACAAAGCAGUGUCUCAGCUGUCAGGGGUAGGCGUUCACCCACACAAGGAAGACGAUAUGGUGGGUACUCACCCCGUGCCACCCUGUGGUUUUACUUACGAGACCAUGGAGAGGACAUGAGAAAAUGGGAUGGAAAAUCUACCGCGACCCUAGAGGCACGGGUACGUGAGUUGCAAAAGAAAACAAUCAGGAAAAAAGGAUUCUCCGAAAAGUUUGCUGCUCCAACUUCCAGCAGACAAUCCUUCAAACACAGAAACGAAGAAGAUUCUGACCAGGAUUAGGGGGGCCCUGCCUCCAGCCAGGGGGAGGAAAGGGACAAUCGAGUUUAUUGGACUGUGUGGAUUCGAUGGCCUGGCACAUCACGCGCACAGAAGUAUAAGGCUUUAGUAGACACCGGUGCACAAUGUACUAUAAUGCCAUCGAGCUAUAAAGGACCGGAG